rnacentral:rRNA from 1 species
GAACGGGGAGCAGCCCAGAGCCUGAAUCAGUAUGUGUGUUAGUGGAAGCGUCUGGAAAGGCGCGCGAUACAGGGUGACAGCCCCGUACACAAAAAUGCACAUGCUGUGAGCUCGAUGAGUAGGGCGGGACACGUGGUAUCCUGUCUGAAUAUGGGGGGACCAUCCUCCAAGGCUAAAUACUCCUGACUGACCGAUAGUGAACCAGUACCGUGAGGGAAAGGCGAAAAGAACCCCGGCGAGGGGAGUGAAAAAGAACCUGAAACCGUGUACGUACAAGCAGUGGGAGCACGCUUAGGCGUGUGACUGCGUACCUUUUGUAUAAUGGGUCAGCGACUUAUAUUCUGUAGCAAGGUUAACCGAAUAGGGGAGCCGAAGGGAAACCGAGUCUUAACUGGGCGUUAAGUUGCAGGGUAUAGACCCGAAACCCGGUGAUCUAGCCAUGGGCAGGUUGAAGGUUGGGUAACACUAACUGGAGGACCGAACCGACUAAUGUUGAAAAAUUAGCGGAUGACUUGUGGCUGGGGGUGAAAGGCCAAUCAAACCGGGAGAUAGCUGGUUCUCCCCGAAAGCUAUUUAGGUAGCGCCUCGUGAAUUCAUCUCCGGGGGUAGAGCACUGUUUCGGCAAGGGGGUCAUCCCGACUUACCAACCCGAUGCAAACUGCGAAUACCGGAGAAUGUUAUCACGGGAGACACACGGCGGGUGCUAACGUCCGUCGUGAAGAGGGAAACAACCCAGACCGCCAGCUAAGGUCCCAAAGUCAUGGUUAAGUGGGAAACGAUGUGGGAAGGCCCAGACAGCCAGGAUGUUGGCUUAGAAGCAGCCAUCAUUUAAAGAAAGCGUAAUAGCUCACUGGUCGAGUCGGCCUGCGCGGAAGAUGUAACGGGGCUAAACCAUGCACCGAAGCUGCGGCAGCGACGCUGAUGCGUUGUUGGGUA